UCCCUGGUGGUCCAGUGGUUAAGACGCUGUGCUAGCAAUGCAGGGGGCUCAGGUUCCAUCCCUGGUCAGGGAA